AGAUUGAACGCUAGCGGGAUGCUUUACACAUGCAAGUCGAACGGCAGCGCGGACUUCGGUCUGGCGGCGGGUGGCGAACGGGUGAGUAAUAUAUCGGAACGUGCCCAGUAGCGGGGGAUAACUACGCGAAAGCGUGGCUAAUACCGCAUACGCCCUACGGGGGAAAGGGGGGGAUUCUUCGGAACCUCUCACUAUUGGAGCGGCCGAUAUCAGAUUAGCUAGUUGGUGAGGUAAAGGCUCACCAAGGCGACGAUCUGUAGCUGGUUUGAGAGGACGACCAGCCACACUGGGACUGAGACACGGCCCAGACUCCUACGGGAGGCAGCAGUGGGGAAUUUUGGACAAGUGGGGGAAACCCUGAUCCAGCCAUCCCGCGUGUGCGAUGAAGGCCUGGUUGUAAGUA
rnacentral:rRNA from 1 species